GUCAUGGUUCAGUGGUAGAGCAUCUGCUUUGCAAGCAGAAGGUCCUAGGUUCCAUCCCUGGCAUCUCCU